rnacentral:rRNA from 1 species
UACGUAGGGUGCAAGCGUUGUCCGGAAUUAUUGGGCGUAAAGAGCUCGUAGGCGGUUUGUCGCGUCGAAAUGUGAAAACCCGGGGCUCAACCCCGGGCCUGCAUUCGAUACGGGCAGACUAGAGUUCGGUAGGGGAGUCUGGAAUUCCUGGUGUAGCGGUGAAAUGCGCAGAUAUCAGGAGGAACACCGGUGGCGAAGGCGGGUCUCUGGGCCGAUACUGACGCUGAGGAGCGAAAGCGUGGGGAGCGAACAGG